GACGAACGCUGGCGGCGUGCUUAACACAUGCAAGUCGAACGGAAAGGCCCUGCUUUUGUGGGGUGCUCGAGUGGCGAACGGGUGAGUAACACGUGAGUAACCUGCCCUUGACUUUGGGAUAACUUCAGGAAACUGGGGCUAAUACCGGAUAGGAGCUCCUGCUGCAUGGUGGGGGUUGGAAAGUUUCGGCGGUUGGGGAUGGACUCGCGGCUUAUCAGCUUGUUGGUGGGGUAGUGGCUUACCAAGGCUUUGACGUGUAGCCGGCCUGAGAGGGUGACCGGCCACAUUGGGACUGAGAUACGGCCCAGACUCCUACGGGAGGCAGCAGUGGGGAAUACUGCACAAUGGGCGGAAGCCUGAUGCAGCAACGCCGCGUGCGGGAUGACGGCCUUCGGGUUGUAAACCGCUUUCGCCUGUGACGAAGCGUGAGUGACGGUAAUGGGUAAAGAAGCACCGGCUAACUACGUG
rnacentral:rRNA from 1 species